UACGUAGGCGCAAGCGUUGUCCGGAAUUAUUGGCGUAAGAGCUCGUAGUGGUUUGUCGCGUUGUUCGUGAAACUCACAGCUCAACUGUGGCGUGCGGCGAUACGGCAGACUGGAGUACUGCAGGGGAGAACGGAAUUCCUGGUGUAGCGGUGAAAUGCGCAGAUAUCAGGAGGAACACCGGUGGCGAAGGCGGUCUCUGGGCAUUACCUGACGCUGGAGGAGCGAAAGUGUGGGAGGCGAACAGG
rnacentral:rRNA from 1 species